GAUGAACGCUGGCGGCGUGCUUAACACAUGCAAGUCGAACGGGAAACCUUUUAUUGAAGCUUCGGCAGAUUUAGCUGGUUUCUAGUGGCGGACGGGUGAGUAACGCGUGGGUAACCUGCCUUAUACGGGGGGAUAACAACCAGAAAUGGUUGCUAAUACCGCAUAAGCGCACAGGACCGCAUGGUCCGGUGUGAAAAACUCCGGUGGUAUAAGAUGGACCCGCGUUGGAUUAGCUAGUUGGCAGGGUAACGGCCUACCAAGGCGACGAUCCAUAGACGGCCUGAGAGGGUUGACGGCCACAUUUGGGCUGGGACACGGCCCAGACUCCUACGGGAGGCAGCAGUGGGGAAUAUUGCACAAUGGGGGAAACCCUGAUGCAGCGACGCCGCGUGAAGGAAGAAGUAUCUCGGUAUGUAAACUUCUAUCAGCAGGGAAGAUAGUGACGGUACCUGACUAAGAAGCCCCGGCUAACUACGUG
rnacentral:rRNA from 1 species